rnacentral:rRNA from 1 species
GACAGAGGUGCCAAGCGUUAGGCGGAAUCACUGGGCUUAAAGCGUGUGUAGGCGGGUCGUUAAGUACCUUGUGAAAUCCCCCGGCUCAACCGGGGAACGGCUGGGUAUACUGGCGAUCUUGAGCAGUCUAGGGGCAGAUGGAACAGACGGUGGAGCGGUGAAAUGCGUAGAUAUCGUCUGGAACGCCAAAGGUGAAAACAGUCUGCUGGGGACUUGCUGACGCUGAGACACGAAAGCCAGGGGAGCGAACGGG